rnacentral:misc_RNA from 1 species
AAUUCCACGCCAUUCUUCAGGUCUGCUCACUUCAUUGCCUCUUCUUUCUUUCUUUGAAUUUUCCAUUCUUUAGCGAUUCUUUUCAUUGCUUCUAUUAUUAUCAUUGCUCCCGAUGUUUGCCUGUUUGGUCUCUGAGAAAACCCUAAAUUAUAUUUUCUUGUGUAUAAAUUUUAUGUUGUUAUUGGGCAUUUUUUGUCUCGGCAUUCGAGCUUGAGUUCUGAGAGAUUUGGCUGCAUAUGUUUGGAACAGGUCGUAUUUUCAAUCCAAUUUCUCUCUCAGUUCAUUGGUCAAAUACUUCGAUGGGUUUCGAGUUUUGGAUUUGGAAAUCCCUUUCACCGAAUGCUGUGGCUUAGCAUGACAUGCCAUUAUGAAAUGUCUGUGUUAACUAUUGAAAUUUGAGAGUGAUGAUUCGCCAUUAGGUAUGUGUGUGUUGGCUUGAUUUGGAGUAUGUCGAUGGCUUUUAGUUAGAUUACAAAGGGAGAUGGUAGAGAGUUGUUUUGAUAAUAAACGAGUAAAACGACAGGUUGAGUACACUGGAGUUAAUUACAAUUCUAGUGAAAUUCAAGGUUCACCUAUUCGCAGAGAUCCUUCAUUCUCACGCUGGUGCGAUGAAGAUGGAAAUGUUCAUUUUGAACGUCAAUUAGAAAAUUCUGAUGGAAGCGUUGAAGGCUCUGAUUUUGAGUUGCCUUUUCUUCCGUCCGACAAGUUAGAAAAUGGGGACGUAGAUACUGAUAGAUAUCAAUAUAAGAAUAAGUUUCAGAGGAGAAGUGUGCACUUGAAUGAUAGUAAUACCAUGGAUCAGGAAAUCAAUAUACACACCAUGGAUCAUGAAGUCAAUAUACACACCAUGGAUCAUGAAG